rnacentral:rRNA from 1 species
CGUAGUCGAUGGGAAACAGGUUAAUAUUCCUGUACUUGGUGUUACUGCGAAGGGGGGACGGAGAAGGCUAUGUUGGCCGGGCGACGGUUGUCCCGGUUUAAGCGUGUAGGCUGGUUUUCCAGGCAAAUCCGGAAAACCAAGGCUGAGGCGUGAUGACGAGGCACUACGGUGCUGAAGCGACAAAUGCCCUGCUUCCAGGAAAAGCCUCUAAGCAUCAGGUAACAUCAAAUCGUACCCCAAACCGACACAGGUGGUCAGGUAGAGAAUACCAAGGCGCUUGAGAGAACUCGGGUGAAGGAACUAGGCAAAAUGGUGCCGUAACUUCGGGAGAAGGCACGCUGAUAUGUAGGUGAAGCGACUUGCUCGUGGAGCUGAAAUCAGUCGAAGAUACCAGCUGGCUGCAACUGUUUAUUAAAAACACAGCACUGUGCAAACACGAAAGUGGACGUAUACGGUGUGACGCCUGCCCGGUGCCGGAAGGUUAAUUGAUGGGGUUAGCGGCAACGCGAAGCUCUUGAUCGAAGCCCCGGUAAACGGCGGCCGUAACUAUAACGGUCCUAAGGUAGCGAAAUUCCUUGUCGGGUAAGUUCCGACCUGCACGAAUGGCGUAAUGAUGGCCAGGCUGUCUCCACCCGAGACUCAGUGAAAUUGAACUCGCUGUGAAGAUGCAGUGUACCCGCGGCAAGACGGAAAGACCCCGUGAACCUUUACUAUAGCUUGACACUGAACAUUGAGCCUUGAUGUGUAGGAUAGGUGGGAGGCUUUGAAGUGUGGACGCCAGUCUGCAUGGAGCCGACCUUGAAAUACCACCCUUUAAUGUUUGAUGUUCUAACGUUGGCCCCUAAUCGGGGUUGCGGACAGUGUCUGGUGGGUAGUUUGACUGGGGCGGUCUCCUCCUAAAGAGUAACGGAGGAGCACGAAGGUUGGCUAAUCCUGGUCGGACAUCAGGAGGUUAGUGCAAUGGCAUAAGCCAGCUUGACUGCGAGCGUGACGGCGCGAGCAGGUGCGAAAGCAGGUCAUAGUGAUCCGGUGGUUCUGAAUGGAAGGGCCAUCGCUCAACGGAUAAAAGGUACUCCGGGGAUAACAGGCUGAUACCGCCCAAGAGUUCAUAUCGACGGCGGUGUUUGGCACCUCGAUGUCGGCUCAUCACAUCCUGGGGCUGAAGUAGGUCCCAAGGGUAUGGCUGUUCGCCAUUUAAAGUGGUACGCGAGCUGGGUUUAGAACGUCGUGAGACAGUUCGGUCCCUAUCUGCCGUGGGCGCUGGAGAACUGAGGGGGGCUGCUCCUAGUACGAGAGGACCGGAGUGGACGCAUCACUGGUGUUCGGGUUGUCAUGCCAAUGGCACUGCCCGGUAGCUAAAUGCGGAAGAGAUAAGUGCUGAAAGCAUCUAAGCACGAAACUUGCCCCGAGAUG